GACGAACGCUGGCGGCAUGCCUAAUACAUGCAAGUCGAGCGAACAGAUGAAGUGCUUGCACUUCUGACGUUAGCGGCGAACGGGUGAGUAACACGUAAGGAAUCUACCUAUAAGCGGGGGAUAACAUUCGGAAACGGGUGCUAAUACCGCAUAAUAUCUUCUUCCGCAUGGAAGAAGAUUGAAAGACGGCUCUGCUGUCACUUAUAGGUGACCUUGCGGUGCAUUAGUUAGUUGGUGGGGUAACGGCCUACCAAGACGAUGAUGCAUAGCCGACCUGAGAGGGUGAUCGGCCACAUUGGGACUGAGACACGGCCCAAACUCCUACGGGAGGCAGCAGCAGGGAAUCUUCCGCAAUGGGCGAAAGCCUGACGGAGCAAUGCCGCGUGAGUGAAGAAGGCCUUCGGGUCGUAAAACUCUGUUAUAAGAGAAGAACAAAUUGUAGAGUAACUGCUACAGUCUUGACGGUAUCUUAUCAGAAAGCCACGGCUAACUACGUG
rnacentral:rRNA from 1 species